rnacentral:rRNA from 1 species
GUAAGAACCUCAUCUUUCUUGAUCUGAAGAUUUUAGAGGUUUAGAUAUAUUGUGCCCAGUGGGCCACUUUUGGUAAGCAGAACUGGCGCUGUGGGAUGAACCAAACGUGAUGUUACGGCGCCUAAAUUAAUGACUCAUAUUGAUACCAUGAAAGGCGUUGGUUGCUUAAAACAGCAGGACGGUGGCCAUGGAAGUCGGAACCCGCUAAGGAGUGUGUAACAACUCACCUGCCGAAGCAACUAGCCCUUAAAAUGGAUGGCGCUCAAGUCAUAUGCCUAUACAUCACCGCUAAAAUAGAAAGAUUUUGCAUUAUUUUAUAUUGUAAAAUUUAUUAAAUUUUAGUGAGUAGGAGGGUACAAUGGUGUGCGCAGAAGUGUUUGGCGUGAGCCUGCAUGGAGCCGCCAUUGGCACAGAUCUUGGUGGUAGUAGCAAAUAAUCGAAUGAGAUCUUGGAGGACUGAAGUGGAGAAGGGUUUCGUGUGAACAGUGGUUGAUCACGAGUUAGUCGGUCCUAAGCUCUAUGCGAAAGCUGUUUAAUUUAUGUUACUAAUGCAAUAGCCAUAUAUUACUGAUGUACAUAAUUUAUUAAGAGCGAAAGGGAAUACGGUUCCAAUUCCGUAACCUGUUGAGUAUACGUUUGUUUAUUAAAAAUGGGUCUUAUUACACUCAUCCUGGUAACAGGAACAACCAUAGAGAAGCCUUCGAGAGAUACUGGAAGAGUUUUCUUUUCUGUUGAACAAUCGUAUCACCAUGGAAGUCUUUCACAGAGAGAUAUGGUGAAUGGAUUGGAAGAGCAUGACAUUUACUGUUGUGUCAGUAUUUUCUCCUUGGACCUUGAAAAUCUAUGGUGGGGCCACGCAAACAUCUCAACAGACCGUACCGAUAUCCGCAGCCGGUCUCCAAGGUGAAGAGUCUCUAGUCGAUAGA